rnacentral:rRNA from 1 species
CUGCCGAGAAAAGCCUCUAGAUAGAAAAUAGGUGCCCGUACCGCAAACCGACACAGGUAGUCAAGAUGAGAAUUCUAAGGUGAGCGAGCGAACUCUCGUUAAGGAACUCGGCAAAAUGACCCCGUAACUUCGGGAGAAGGGGUGCUCUUUAGGGUUAACGCCCAGAAGAGCCGCAGUGAAUAGGCCCAAGCGACUGUUUAUCAAAAACACAGGUCUCUGCUAAACCGUAAGGUGAUGUAUAGGGGCUGACGCCUGCCCGGUGCUGGAAGGUUAAGAGGAGUGGUUAGCUUCUGCGAAGCUACGAAUCGAAGCCCCAGUAAACGGCGGCCGUAACUAUAACGGUCCUAAGGUAGCGAAAUUCCUUGUCGGGUAAGUUCCGACCCGCACGAAAGGCGUAACGAUUUGGGCACUGUCUCAACGAGAGACUCGGUGAAAUCAUAGUACCUGUGAAGAUGCAGGUUACCCGCGACAGGACGGAAAGACCCCGUGGAGCUUUACUGUAGCCUGAUAUUGAAAUUCGGCACAGCUUGUACAGGAUAGGUA